GACCAAUCUGUUGGCCUAGUGGUUAGAGCGUCCGCCUCGGAUGCGGGUGGUUGUGGCCUUGUGGGUUUGAUUCCUGGUCGAGUCA